AACGACUCUCGGCAACGGAUAUCUCGGCUCUCGCAUCGAUGAAGAACGUAGCGAAAUGCGAUACUUGGUGUGAAUUGCAGAAUCCCGUGAACCAUCGAGUCUUUGAACGCAAGUUGCGCCCCAGGCCUUCUGGCCGAGGGCACGUCUGCCUGGGUGUCACAA
rnacentral:rRNA from 1 species